UACGUAGGCAGCAAGCGUUGUUCGGAGUUACUGGGCGUAAAGAGUGCGUAGGCGGUGCUCUAAGUUUGGUGUGAAAUCUCCCGGCUCAACUGGGAGGGUGCGCCGAAAACUGGAGUGCUUGAGUAUGGGAGAGGCAAGCGGAAUCCCUGGUGUAGCGGUGAAAUGCGUAGAUAUCAGGAGGAACACCUGUGGUGUAGACAGCUUGCUGGACCAUCACUGACGCUGAGGCACGAAAGCGUGGGUAGCAAACAGG
rnacentral:rRNA from 1 species